rnacentral:rRNA from 1 species
GACGAACGCUGGCGGCGUGCUUAACACAUGCAAGUCGAACGGAAAGGCCCUGCUUUUGUGGGGUGCUCGAGUGGCGAACGGGUGAGUAACACGUGAGUAACCUGCCCUUGACUUUGGGAUAACUUCAGGAAACUGGGGCUAAUACCGGAUAGGAGCUCCUGCUGCAUGGUGGAGGUUGGAAAGUUUCGGCGGUUGGGGAUGGACUCGCGGCUUAUCAGCUUGUUGGUGGGGUAGUGGCUUACCAAGGCUUUGACGGGUAGCCGGCCUGAGAGGGUGACCGGCCACAUUGGGACUGAGAUACGGCCCAGACUCCUACGGGAGGCAGCAGUGGGGAAUAUUGCACAAUGGGCGGAAGCCUGAUGCAGCAACGCCGCGUGCGGGAUGACGGCCUUCGGGCUGUAAACCGCUUUCGCCUGUGACGAAGCGUGAGUGACGGUAAUGGGUAAAGAAGCACCGGCUAACUACGUG